rnacentral:rRNA from 1 species
UACGUAGGGGGCAAGCGUUGUCCGGAAUCAUUGGGCGUAAAGCGCGCGUAGGCGGCCCGGUAAGUCCGCUGUAAAAGUCCAGGGCUCAACCCUGGAAAGCCGGUGGAUACUGUCGGGCUAGAGUCCGGAAGAGGCGAGUGGAAUUCCUGGUGUAGCGGUGGAAUGCGCAGAUAUCAGGAGGAACACCGAAGGCGAAGGCAGUGUCCUGGCUGGUGACUGACGCUGAGGUGCGAAAGCCAGGGGAGCGAACGGG